rnacentral:rRNA from 1 species
AGCGAACGCUGGCGGCAGGCCUAACACAUGCAAGUCGAACGAAGCCUUCGGGCUUAGUGGCGGACGGGUGAGUAACACGUGGGAACGUACCUUUUGGUUCGGAAUAGCGCAGAGAAAUUUGCGCUAAUACCGAAUGAGCCCUUCGGGGGAAAGAUUUAUCGCCGAAAGAUCGGCCCGCGUUGGAUUCGGUAGUUGGUGUGGUAAAGGCGCACCAAGCCUACGAUCCAUAGCUGGUCUGAGAGGAUGAUCAGCCACACUGGGACUGAGACACGGCCCAGACUCCUACGGGAGGCAGCAGUGGGGAAUCUUGCGCAAUGGGCGAAAGCCUGACGCAGCCAUGCCGCGUGAAUGAUGAAGGUCUUAGGAUUGUAAAAUUCUUUUACCAGGGACGAUAAUGACGGUACCUGGAGAAAAAGCCCCGGCUAACUUCGUGCCAGCCGCCGCGGUAAUAC